rnacentral:rRNA from 1 species
GGUUAAGCGACUAAGCGUACACGGUGGAUGCCCUGGCAGUCAGAGGCGAUGAAGGACGUGCUAAUCUGCGAAAAGCGCCGGCGAGGUGAUAUGAACCUUUGACCCGGCGAUGUCCGAAUGGGGAAACCCAGUGCAAUCCGUUGCACUAUCGUUAACUGAAUACAUAGGUUAACGAGGCGAACCGGGGGAACUGAAACAUCUAAGUACCCCGAGGAAAAGAAAUCAACCGAGAUUCCCCCAGUAGCGGCGAGCGAACGGGGAGCAGCCCGGAGUCUGAAUCAGCUUGUGUGUUAGUGGAACGGUCUGGAAAGUCCGACGGUACAGGGUGAUAGUCCCGUACACGAAAAUGCACAUGCUGUGAACUCGAAGAGUAGGGCGGGACACGUGGUAUCCUGUCUGAAUAUGGGGGGACCAUCCUCCAAGGCUAAAUACUCCUGACUGACCGAUAGUGAACCAGUACCGUGAGGGAAAGGCGAAAAGAACCCCGGCGAGGGGAGUGAAAAAGAACCUGAAACCGUGUACGUACAAGCAGUGGGAGCCUCUUUAUGGGGUGACUGCGUACCUUUUGUAUAAUGGGUCAGCGACUUAUAUUCUGUAGCAAGGUUAACCGUAUAGGGGAGCCGAAGGGAAACCGAGUCUUAACUGGGCGUUAAGUUGCAGGGUAUAGACCCGAAACCCGGUGAUCUAGCCAUGGGCAGGUUGAAGGUUGGGUAACACUAACUGGAGGACCGAACCGACUAAUGUUGAAAAAUUAGCGGAUGACCUGUGGCUGGGGGUGAAAGGCCAAUCAAACCGGGAGAUAGCUGGUUCUCCCCGAAAGCUAUUUAGGUAGCGCCUCGUGAACUCAUCUUCGGGGGUAGAGCACUGUUUCGGCUAGGGGGCCAUCCCGGCUUACCAACCCGAUGCAAACUACGAAUACCGAAGAAUGUUAUCACGGGAGACACACGGCGGGUGCUAACGUCCGUCGUGAAGAGGGAAACAACCCAGACCGCCAGCUAAGGUCCCAAAGUCAUGGUUAAGUGGGAAACGAUGUGGGAAGGCACAGACAGCCAGGAUGUUGGCUUAGAAGCAGCCAUCAUUUAAAGAAAGCGUAAUAGCUCACUGGUCGAGUCGGCCUGCGCGGAAGAUGUAACGGGGCUAAACCAUGCACCGAAGCUGCGGCAGCGACACUAUGUGUUGUUGGGUAGGGGAGCGUUCUGUAAGCCGUUGAAGGUGUGCUGUGAGGCAUGCUGGAGGUAUCAGAAGUGCGAAUGCUGACAUAAGUAACGAUAAAGCGGGUGAAAAGCCCGCUCGCCGGAAGACCAAGGGUUCCUGUCCAACGUUAAUCGGGGCAGGGUGAGUCGACCCCUAAGGCGAGGCCGAAAGGCGUAGUCGAUGGGAAACAGGUUAAUAUUCCUGUACUUGGUGUUACUGCGAAGGGGGGACGGAGAAGGCUAUGUCAGCCGGGCGACGGUUGUCCCGGUUUAAGCAUGUAGGCGGAGGUUCCAGGUAAAUCCGGUACCUUAUUAACGCUGAGGUGUGAUGACGAGGCACUACGGUGCUGAAGUGAUAAAUGCCCUGCUUCCAGGAAAAGCCUCUAAGCAUCAGGUAACACGAAAUCGUACCCCAAACCGACACAGGUGGUCAGGUAGAGAAUACCAAGGCGCUUGAGAGAACUCGGGUGAAGGAACUAGGCAAAAUGGUGCCGUAACUUCGGGAGAAGGCACGCUGAUAUGUAGGUGAAGCCCCUGCGGGCGGAGCUGAAAUCAGUCGAAGAUACCAGCUGGCUGCAACUGUUUAUUAAAAACACAGCACUGUGCAAACACGAAAGUGGACGUAUACGGUGUGACGCCUGCCCGGUGCCGGAAGGUUAAUUGAUGGGGUUAGCGGCAACGCGAAGCUCUUGAUCGAAGCCCCGGUAAACGGCGGCCGUAACUAUAACGGUCCUAAGGUAGCGAAAUUCCUUGUCGGGUAAGUUCCGACCUGCACGAAUGGCGUAAUGAUGGCCAGGCUGUCUCCACCCGAGACUCAGUGAAAUUGAACUCGCUGUGAAGAUGCAGUGUACCCGCGGCAAGACGGAAAGACCCCGUGAACCUUUACUAUAGCUUGACACUGAACACUGGUCCUUGAUGUGUAGGAUAGGUGGGAGGCUUUGAAGCGUGGACGCCAGUCUGCGUGGAGCCAACCUUGAAAUACCACCCUUUAAUGGCUGGUGUUCUAACGUAGACCCGUAAUCCGGGUUGCGGACAGUGUCUGGUGGGUAGUUUGACUGGGGCGGUCUCCUCCCAAAGAGUAACGGAGGAGCACGAAGGUUGGCUAAUCCUGGUCGGACAUCAGGAGGUUAGUGCAAUGGCAUAAGCCAGCUUGACUGCGAGCGUGACGGCGCGAGCAGGUGCGAAAGCAGGUCAUAGUGAUCCGGUGGUUCUGAAUGGAAGGGCCAUCGCUCAACGGAUAAAAGGUACUCCGGGGAUAACAGGCUGAUACCGCCCAAGAGUUCAUAUCGACGGCGGUGUUUGGCACCUCGAUGUCGGCUCAUCACAUCCUGGGGCUGAAGUAGGUCCCAAGGGUAUGGCUGUUCGCCAUUUAAAGUGGUACGCGAGCUGGGUUUAGAACGUCGUGAGACAGUUCGGUCCCUAUCUGCCGUGGGCGCUGGAGAAUUGAGGGGGGCUGCUCCUAGUACGAGAGGACCGGAGUGGACGCAUCACUGGUGUUCGGGUUGUCAUGCCAAUGGCACUGCCCGGUAGCUAAAUGCGGAAGAGAUAAGUGCUGAAAGCAUCUAAGCACGAAACUUGCCCCGAGAUGAGUUCUCCCUGAGACUUUAAGUCUCCUGAAGGAACGUUGAAGACGACGACGUUGAUAGGUCGGGUGUGUAAGCGCAGCGAUGCGUUGAGCUAACCGAUACUAAUGAACCGUGAGGCUUAACCUU